UACAGAGGGGGCAAGCGUUAUUCGGAAUUAUUGGGCGUAAAGGGCGCGUAGGCGGUGUUUUAAGUGGGAUGUGCAAUCCCCGGGCUUAACCUGGGAACUGCAUCCCAGACUGGAACGCUAGAGUACUGGAGAGGGUGGUGGAAUUCCACGUGUAGCGGUGAAAUGCGUAGAGAUGUGGAGGAACACCAGUGGCGAAGGCGGCCACCUGGACAGUAACUGACGCUGAGGCGCGAAAGUGUGGGUAGCAAAC
rnacentral:rRNA from 1 species